GCUUACGGCCAUACCACCUUAAAAGCACGCCAUCCCGUCCGAUCUGGCAAGUUAAGCAACGUUGCGCCUGGUUAAAACUUGGAUAGGAGACGGGUUGGGAAUCCCAGGUGUCGUAAGCU
rnacentral:rRNA from 1 species